rnacentral:tRNA from 1 species
GUUUUUUUAGAUUGGAUAAAACGGACUCAUAAUCCGUUGGUCCCGUGUUCGAGUCACGGUGGGCCCACCA